rnacentral:rRNA from 1 species
GAUGAACGCUGGCGGCGUGCCUAAUACAUGCAAGUCGAGCGAACAGACGAGGAGCUUGCUCCUCUGACGUUAGCGGCGGACGGGUGAGUAACACGUGGAUAACCUACCUAUAAGACUGGGAUAACUUCGGGAAACCGGAGCUAAUACCGGAUAAUAUAUUGAACCGCAUGGUUCAAUAGUGAAAGACGGUUUUGCUGUCACUUAUAGCUGGAUCCGCGCCGCAUUAGCUAGUUGGUAAGGUAACGGCUUACCAAGGCAACGAUGCGUAGCCGACCUGAGAGGGUGAUCGGAUACACGGGAACAGAGACACGGUCCACACUCCUACAGUGGGAAGCAGUAGGGAAUCUUACGCAAUGGGCGAAAGCCUGACGGAGCAACGUCGCGUGAGUGAUGAAGGUCUUAGGAUGGUAAAGCUCUGUUAGUAGGGAAGUAGAAAAGUGUAAGUAACUAUGAACGUCUUGACGGUACCGAAUCAGAAAGCCCCGGCUAACUCCGUG